CCUGUGCGCCACACACGUGCUACAAUGGUCGGCACAGAGGGUUGCCAAGCCGCGAGGUGGAGCUAAUCUCACAAAACCGAUCGUAGUCCGGAUCGCAGUCUGCAACUCGACUGCGUAAAGUCGGAAUCGCUAGUAAUCGCGAA
rnacentral:rRNA from 1 species